rnacentral:rRNA from 2 species
CAAAAUGACUCUCGGCAACGGAUAUCUCGGCUCUCGCAUCGAUGAAGAACGUAGCGAAAUGCGAUACUUGGUGUGAAUUGCAGAAUCCCGUGAACCAUCGAGUCUUUGAACGCAAGUUGCGCCCAAAGCCAUUAGGCCGAGGGCACGCCUGCCUGGGUGUCGCA